GACGUAGGGCGCGAGCGUUGUCCGGAUUUAUUGGGCGUAAAGAGCUCGUAGGCGGCUUGUCGCGUCGACUGUGAAAACCCGCGGCUCAACUGCGGGCUUGCAGUCGAUACGGGCAGGCUAGAGUUCGGUAGGGGAGACUGGAAUUCCUGGUGUAGCGGUGAAAUGCGCAGAUAUCAGGAGGAACACCGAUGGCGAAGGCAGCUCGCUGGGACGGUACUGACGCUGAGACGCGAAAGCGUGGGGAGCGAACAGG
rnacentral:rRNA from 1 species